rnacentral:lncRNA from 1 species
GUCUGACUUGGGAGUCAUCAGCCUAAAACUCGCUACAGGGGUCAUUUAGAAAGUUUAAUGAAGAGAAGUCUUGCACAGGAGAUGUCAAAAAAAAUAAAAAAAAAAUAUCAAAAAAAAAAUGAUGAAGAAAAAUUGAGAUAUAAAUUAUCAAAAGUGAGAUGUGCCUAGUAAUGACUUUGAGAUUUGAAUUCUAGAGAUUGGCGGUGUGGUUAUGAGAAAGACUUACUAUCUCUCUUUCUAGGUUUACAAGUAUCUAAUUCUGAACACUUGUGCGGAAAAAAUGCAUCAUAAUGAUUUUUAGGAACCCCUUAUGUACUAGAAAUACCUCAGGAUUGGAGAGAAAAGCAUAAUGAGUGAUUGUUACACGAGAGGUGUGAGGAAAAAUGACCACAAGAGGGUUGGGACUAUGAAUAAAUCAACAACACUUGAUUGGUUGUAUACUAAUAUAGGUGUUAGUUCAAUGUUGGCUAAUCUCUCUCACACACACACUAAAUCGAGCAUCGAAUAAGCAAUUUUUAUUUUUAUUUUUGAUGUUGUUUGGAUCUUUCUAAAAUAUUGCUUAAAUUCGAACAUGAG